AUUGAACGCUGGCGGCAUGCUUUACACAUGCAAGUCGAACGGUAACAGGGUGCUUGCACCGCUGACGAGUGGCGAACGGGUGAGUAAUGCGUCGGAACGUGCCGAGUAGUGGGGGAUAACGCAGCGCAAGUUGUGCUAAUACCGCAUACGUACUGAGGUAGAAAGUGGGGGACCUUCGGGCCUCACGCUAUUCGAGCGGCCGACGUCUGAUUAGCUAGUAGGUGAGGUAAAGGGUCACCUAGGCGACGAACAGUAGCGGGUCUGAGAGGAUGAUCCGCCACACGGGGACUGAGACACGGCCCAGACUCCUACGGGAGGCAGCAGUGGGGAAUUUUGGACAAUGGGCGCAAGCCUGAUCCAGCCAUGCCGCGUGUCUGAAGAAGGCCUUCGGGUUGUAAAGGACUUUUGUCGGGGAGGAAAUCCCUAGCGUUAAUACCGCUGGGGGAUGACAGUACCUGAAGAAUAAGCACCGGCUAACUACGUGCCAGCAGCCGCCGUAAGAC
rnacentral:rRNA from 1 species